rnacentral:scRNA from 1 species
UAACCAUGCCCGGAUCACUAUCGAGUACACCG